rnacentral:tRNA from 1 species
GUUUUAAUAGUUUAAAUAAAACAUUGGUCUUGUAAACCAAAAUUAAGAAACUCUUUUAAAACU